CGCGCAUGUCUUGAUCGCUUGACGGCCAACAAACGGUACAACUGACGGCACGACAUACCUUUAUAAGCUGCACGUUAUGUUAAUAAAUAAUAAUUUAUUAUUCAGUUCACGGCGAGUCUGUUUCGAAGGAUAUUUAAAUUGAAAGGCUUAGCCUAUUUUUACCAGUAUGAAGCCGGUUUUCAACGGUUGCUGCAAACGGCAAGCACGCAGUUCAAGUCAUCACUGGAGGGACCUGUGCAUAACUUUGGAUGAGAGAAGACUCAACGCCUGACUUAAAUCUUGCGAAAUUACGGUGAACUUGAGGAUCCUGAAUUUUGUUUUUUGAGAGGAGGGCGCACCAGAGCCUUUGAGGGCAUGCAUUGUAACGUGAGAGUUCACACCACCAGAAGAUGCAUUGUAACCAAGUCCACAAAGACCCCCCCCCCCAGUGCAAGCUGAAGGACACAAAUGGCGUGACCGUUUGCAUUGACGGACUCUUCUAAGAGUUGGUCGUUUUUAGGGUGUAACAUGGCAACAGAUCAUCUUCAGUAGCCUAUUAUAUAUUUUUGGAAUGCCUUUAAAGAGUAGAUGUGAUUUAAGCUAUAAUUAGUUAUAUUCCACCCUUCUAUGUGCUUGUUAACACCAUCUUUCAGUGGGACAUGACCGUUUGCAU